GGGAUCAUUACCGAGUUUACAACUCCCAAACCCCUGUGAACAUACCUAUACGUUGCCUCGGCGGAUCAGCCCGCGCCCCGUAAAACGGGACGGCCCGCCCGAGGACCCCUAAACUCUGUUUUUAGUGGAACUUCUGAGUAAAACAAACAAAUAAAUCAAAACUUUCAACAACGGAUCUCUUGGUUCUGGCAUCGAUGAAGAACGCAGCAAAAUGCGAUAAGUAAUGUGAAUUGCAGAAUUCAGUGAAUCAUCGAAUCUUUGAACGCACAUUGCGCCCGCCAGUAUUCUGGCGGGCAUGCCUGUUCGAGCGUCAUUUCAACCCUCAAGCUCAGCUUGGUGUUGGGACUCGCGGUAACCCGCGUUCCCCAAAUCGAUUGGCGGUCACGUCGAGCUUCCAUAGCGUAGUAAUCAUACACCUCGUUACUGGUAAUCGUCGCGGCCACGCCGUAAAACCCCAACUUCUGAAUGUUGACCUCGGAUCAGGUAGGAAUACCCGCUGAACUUAAGCAUA
rnacentral:rRNA from 1 species